rnacentral:misc_RNA from 1 species
GAUGAAGAACGUAGCGAAAUGCGAUACGUAAUGUGAAUUGCACAAUUCAGUGAAUCAUCGAAUCUUUGAACGCACAUUGCGCCUGCCAGCACUCUGGCAGGCAUGCCUGUUCGAGCGUCAUUUCAACCAUCAAGCCCUAGGCUUGCGUUGGAGCCCUGCGGCUGCCGCAGGCCCCUAAAAGCAGUGGCGGGCUCGCUAUCACACCGAGUGCAGUAGAUUACUCUUCGCUCAGGGCGUGUGGCGGGUUCCAGCCGUGAAACCCCCUACUUCUCAAGGUUGACCUCGGAUCAGGUAGGAAUACCCGCUGAACUUAAGCAUAUCAAUAAGCGGAGGA